AGCGAACGCUGGCGGCAGGCCUAACACAUGCAAGUCGAACGAAGUCUUCGGACUUAGUGGCGGACGGGUGAGUAACACGUGGGAACGUGCCUUUAGGUUCGGAAUAACUCAGGGAAACUUGUGCUAAUACCGAAUGUGCCCUUCGGGGGAAAGAUUUAUCGCCUUUAGAGCGGCCCGCGUCUGAUUAGCUAGUUGGUGAGGUAAAGGCUCACCAAGGCUACGAUCAGUAGCUGGUCUGAGAGGAUGACCAGCCACAUUGGGACUGAGACACGGCCCAAACUCCUACGGGAGGCAGCAGUGGGGAAUCUUGCGCAAUGGGCGAAAGCCUGACGCAGCCAUGCCGCGUGGAUGAUGAAGGUCUUAGGAUUGUAAAAUCCUUUCACCGGUGAAGAUAAUGACUGUAGCCGGAGAAGAAGCCCCGGCUAACUUCGUGCCAGCCGCCGCGGUAACAC
rnacentral:rRNA from 1 species